GACGAACGCUGGCGGCGUGCCUAAUACAUGCAAGUAGAACGCUGAAGGAGGAGCUUGCUUCUCUGGAUGAGUUGCGAACGGGUGAGUAACGCGUAGGUAACCUGCCUGGUAGCGGGGGAUAACUAUUGGAAACGAUAGCUAAUACCGCAUAAGAGUAGAUGUUGCAUGACAUUUGCUUAAAAGUUGCAAUUGCAUCACUACCAGAUGGACCUGCGUUGUAUUAGCUAGUUGGUGAGGUAACGGCUCACCAAGGCGACGAUACAUAGCCGACCUGAGAGGGGGAGCGGCCACACUGGGACUGUGACACGGCCCAGACUCCUUCGGGAGGGAGCAGUAGGGAAUCUUCAGCAAUGGACGGAAGUCUGACCGAGCAACGCCGCGUGAGUGAAGAAGGUUGUCGGAUCGGAAAGCACUGUUGUAAGGGAAGAACGAGUGUGAGAGUGGAAAGUUCACACUGUGACGGUAUCUUACCAGAAAGGGACGGCUAACUACGUG
rnacentral:rRNA from 1 species